AUUGAACGCUGGCGGCAUGCUUUACACAUGCAAGUCGAACGGCAGCGCGGGCUUCGGCCUGGCGGCGAGUGGCGAACGGGUGAGUAAUACAUCGGAACGUGCCCAGUAGUGGGGGAUAGCUCGGCGAAAGCCGGAUUAAUACCGCAUACGACCUGAGGGUGAAAGCGGGGGAUCUUCGGACCUCGCGCUAUUGGAGCGGCCGAUGGCAGAUUAGCUAGUUGGUGGGGUAAAGGCCUACCAAGGCGACGAUCUGUAGCUGGUCUGAGAGGACGACCAGCCACACUGGGACUGAGACACGGCCCAGACUCCUACGGGAGGCAGCAGUGGGGAAUUUUGGACAAUGGGCGAAAGCCUGAUCCAGCAAUGCCGCGUGUGCGAUGAAGGCCUUCGGGUUGUAAAACACUUUUGGCGGGAACGAAAAGGACUGUGCCAAUACCACGGUUCGAUGACGGUACCCGCAGAAUAAGCACCGGCUAACUACGUG
rnacentral:rRNA from 1 species